AGAUUGAACGCUGGCGGCAUGCCUUACACAUGCAAGUCGAACGGCAGCACGGAGCUUGCUCUGGUGGCGAGUGGCGAACGGGUUAGUAAUAUAUCGGAACGUACCCUAGAGUGGGGGAUAACGUAGCGAAAGUUACGCUAAUACCGCAUACGAUCUAAGGAUGAAAGUGGGGGAUCGCAAGACCUCAUGCUCGUGGAGCGGCCGAUAUCUGAUUAGCUAGUUGGUAGGGUAAAAGCCUACCAAGGCAUCGAUCAGUAGCUGGUCUGAGAGGACGACCAGCCACACUGGAACUGAGACACGGUCCAGACUCCUACGGGAGGCAGCAGUGGGGAAUUUUGGACAAUGGGCGAAAGCCUGAUCCAGCAAUGCCGCGUGAGUGAAGAAGGCCUUCGGGUUGUAAAGCUCUUUUGUCAGGGAAGAAACGGUGAGAGCUAAUAUCUUUUGCUAAUGACGGUACCUGAAGAAUAAGCACCGGCUAACUACGUGCCAGCAGCCGCGGUAAUACGUAGGGUGCAAGCGUUAAUCGGAAUUACUGGGCGUAAAGCGUGCGCAGGCGGUUUUGUAAGUCUGAUGUGAAAUCCCCGGGCUCAACCUGGGAAUUGCAUUGGAGACUGCAAGGCUAGAAUCUGGCAGAGGGGGGUAGAAUUCCACGYGUAGCAGUGAAAUGCGUAGAUAUGUGGCGGAACACCGAYGGCGAAGGCAGCCCCCUGGGUCAAGACUGACGCUCAUGCACGAAAGCGUGGGGAGCAAACAGGA
rnacentral:rRNA from 1 species